GAGCGAACCAAUAGGAGCUUAGCAUCUGUUGGUUAGCGGCGGACGGGUGAGUAACACGUGGGCAACCUGCCUGUAAGACUGGGAUAACACCGGGAAACCGGUGCUAAUACCGGAUAAUUCUUUUCAACACAUGUUGGAAAGCUGAAAGUCGGUUUUGGCUGACACUUACAGAUGGGCCCGCGGCGCAUUAGCUAGUUGGUGAGGUAACGGCUCACCAAGGCAACGAUGCGUAGCCGACCUGAGAGGGUGAUCGGCCACACUGGGACUGAGACACGGCCCAGACUCCUACGGGAGGCAGCAGUAGGGAAUCUUCCACAAUGGACGAAAGUCUGAUGGAGCAACGCCGCGUGAGCGAAGAAGGCCUUCGGGUCGUAAAGCUCUGUUGUCAGGGAAGAACAAGUAUCGGAGUAACUGCCGGUACCUUGACGGUACCUGACCAGAAAGCCACGGCUAACUACGUGCCAGCAGCCGCGGUAAU
rnacentral:rRNA from 1 species